GGGGUGGGUGGCGGGUGUCCAGUGAUUCAGCCACAUGUGAUAGAUGACCAAGUGACUGCUUCCUUGGGGUCCGCACAUCAGUGGAAGACACCCACACUGGUUGUGGCUGACUUGAUCAAACUCUGGCUCCCUGAACUGGAAUGAAAUGCAGUUAACGCUUUAGAAAACUUUCGCAGGAAAAAGCGCCUCGUGUGAUCUGGAACAAAGACAUUUUAUAAUCAGAUUUAUCAAGCUGUGAAGAGGGAGUUUUAGCGAAUGGAAUCAGCAGCAUUCUGUCACCAGGAAAUACUGCUUUAUCCAGAAUUGGGAUCUGAGUGAAGAAUAUAGGAGAAAGUGACCUCUGAGCUCUUUGAGAUUCUACAAAAUAUAUGAUUUCUCAUCAACCCUGGAAACAGGAAUCGCACAUAAUUGAAAUUCAAUAGGACAAAAGAAGAAAGUGCUAUUUAAAAUGAGAGACCUUUUAAAGAGUGAAAGAUGCCAGCUGAAAUGGAGUGUCUGUGACAAAAAUCUUCAGUCAAUACGUUUUUCAAAUUCUUUCAGUUGUUGACUCUCAAAUAUUUAUGCUAAUGACAACCAGGAAAAGCACAGAUUUUGGAAACGUACCAAACCCAAGACUACUUCUAGCCAACUAAUUCUUUUCACCAAACUUUCUGCAAGAACAUCUAAUAAGAAGAGGCUCGGAUACCACUGACCCCCUGCAAUUCUCCCUUGAGGAGUCAAGCGUGGUUUUUUUCUAAGGUUCAGACCACUAGUGGGAGGUCCCAAGUAUGGUGAUCUGAGGGUAGAGGAGAAAGGGAGGAAGAUGAAGAUGGGAAGAAAAAAAAAAAAAAGCAAAGGAUCUGAAAAUUAAAGAAAACCUAUACUUAAUUGUUGAUGUAGAGCUUGGAUUUAGAAAUUUAGACAAGAUCAGCUAAGGUUAUUUCCAAUUAAUUACUUAAGUAA